ACACAAUUUUAUUUUUCAAGGAAAUUUAAAACAAUUUUUCACAUUGGUGGAAUGUUUACAUUUUUUUAUUGACUUUUUUAAAAUAAGUAUGAGACAAAGCUUUUUUUAAGAAAUAGCCAAUGUAAAACUAUUUUUAUUUUACAAAUUUUUCUUUUUUGGGUGUUGACUUUGCGACCACUAGACUAUUGCUUUAAAAAGAAAUAACACUUUCAUUUUUUUUUCUUAGUUAGCACUUUAAGAUAUAAUUUGACAUUCAUAUUGUUAUUGUUGAAUUUCCCAAUGCACAUUUUUUUGUGGUGAUAUUACUGUUCCAAAAAUACAAACGAAAUUGCUAAAAAAAUAGUUCUUUUAUUUAAAAACAAUAUACUAAAAUUUACGUAUUGACACUGAAUGGCUUUAUUAUGUUUAAUAAUUUGACUAUCACUAUAGUCAAAUAUACGUUUUUUUAUCUCUUAAGUCCUAUGUUAUAAAAAAAUAUAGACUACACGUAUUAUGGAAGGAUAAAUACAUCUUUUUUAUUGUAUAAGCGAAAACUAAGCUUAUGAAGGUGUUACUUGUUAAGGAAUGUUUAGUUCUUUUGAUAGAUUGAACUGAAAAACAUCAAAGUAUGUAUCACAAAAUAUUGAAAACGCUAUUGAUACACAAAAUAAAUUAAUUUGAAAAAUGUGAGAUUUUGACAUUAAUUUAAUAUAUCAUUUCAAACAAAUAGACAAGAGGGCGUCGAUAUAAAAUUGUCUAUCUUUGUAAAGUUUUGUUUUUAAAAUAGAAAAAUCUUAAACAUUAUACCACAAGGUUGAGUCAAGAGUUAUUUCUUUCCUUUGUUUGAGAUCCAAAAUAAAAUAAUUAAUUACAAAUAGUUAAUAACCUAAAUGGUAUUUUUGUUCUUAAAUUGUGUUUGUCAGGUAAAAGUAAAUCAAUUUUGCAAAUGUUUAGCUUGAUCCGAAAUAGGGUGUCCGAAAAAUAACAUGUACAACUUUUUACCAGGCAGACAGUGAGUUAAUAUAAGCUUUGUAAAAAUUAAGUGCCAUAACAUAGGAAAUGGAACAUUUUUAAACCUUUUGUUUUUGUGGAGUAUGGAUUUUUUUUACAGUUUGUGUAAACGUUUUGGUGGGCCGGAUUUUAUCACAAUGCGAGUCGGACUUAUAGACUUUUACUUUUAAUGGGGUAUACUGUUGAAAAACUCCCAAAAAUUUACAAAUGUUAGAAAUAAUAUGUUUUAUUAUCUACUAAAUUGUUAUUUGACACAUGUAACGCUGAAUUAUUUUUACCAAUGUUAG